CUCGCCUCAGGCCUUGUCUCCGAGCUGCCCCGUCCCGCCCGCACAUAGCGGGGUGCUGGGGGAAAAGCGGUGCUCUGGGCGCGGCUACCAGCCCUGCAUUGUGACUGGUGAAAGCGUGAACAAAAGUUCUGCCCUAAGGUUUGAUUCUUCCAGGCUUGCUGAGGAGGUUUCCUAGAGGCUGGACUAGAAUAUGUCUCCUGGGAAAACACCUCAUUUUGCCUGAAAGAUUCCAAGCAAUGGUGACUUACCACCUCCUCAGACAGAUGAAGCAUUACUAUGCUGAGAAGACAGUGCCAUGUGAAAGCCUGCCAGACAACCCAGACGGAGUGCCAUGAAGAGCUGUCUAAUUACAAGACCUGAUGGCUGUGUAUUUGGAAGUUCACAGACUUGAAGAUCAGAAUGAAACAGAAAUUGAUUCUAGUCCUAGAAGAGGAAAGGAGGAAUACCCUAACAAGGUAUAGU